rnacentral:rRNA from 1 species
GAAGGUGGCCUGUGAGGGUUGCUGGAGGUAUCAGAAGUGCGAAUGCUGACAUAAGUAACGAUAAAGCGGGUGAAAAGCCCGCUCGCCGGAAGACCAAGGGUUCCUGUCCAACGUUAAUCGGGGCAGGGUGAGUCGACCCCUAAGGCGAGGCCGAAAGGCGUAGUCGAUGGGAAACAGGUUAAUAUUCCUGUACUUGGUGUUACUGCGAAGGGGGGACGGAGAAGGCUAUGUUGGCCGGGCGACGGUUGUCCCGGUUUAAGCGUGUAGGCUGGUUUUCCAGGCAAAUCCGGCUAAAACUGAGGCGUGAUGACGAGGCACUACGGUGCUGAAGCAACAAAUGCCCUGCUUCCAGGAAAAGCCUCUAAGCAUCAGGUAACAUCAAAUCGUACCCCAAACCGACACAGGUGGUCAGGUAGAGAAUACCAAGGCGCUUGAGAGAACUCGGGUGAAGGAACUAGGCAAAAUGGUGCCGUAACUUCGGGAGAAGGCACGCUGACACGUAGGUGAAGUGAUUUACUCAUGGAGCUGAAGUCAGUCGAAGAUACCAGCUGGCUGCAACUGUUUAUUAAAAACACAGCACUGUGCAAACACGAAAGUGGACGUAUACGGUGUGACGCCUGCCCGGUGCCGGAAGGUUAAUUGAUGGGGUCAGCGCAAGCGAAGCUCCUGAUCGAAGCCCCGGUAAACGGCGGCCGUAACUAUAACGGUCCUAAGGUAGCGAAAUUCCUUGUCGGGUAAGUUCCGACCUGCACGAAUGGCGUAAUGAUGGCCAGGCUGUCUCCACCCGAGACUCAGUGAAAUUGAACUCGCUGUGAAGAUGCAGUGUACCCGCGGCAAGACGGAAAGACCCCGUGAACCUUUACUAUAGCUUGACACUGAACAUUGAGCCUUGAUGUGUAGGAUAGGUGGGAGGCUUUGAAGUGUGGACGCCAGUCUGCAUGGAGCCGACCUUGAAAUACCACCCUUUAAUGUUUGAUGUUCUAACGUGGACCCGUGAUCCGGGUUGCGGACAGUGUCUGGUGGGUAGUUUGACUGGGGCGGUCUCCUCCUAAAGAGUAACGGAGGAGCACGAAGGUUGGCUAAUCCUGGUCGGACAUCAGGAGGUUAGUGCAAUGGCAUAAGCCAGCUUGACUGCGAGCGUGACGGCGCGAGCAGGUGCGAAAGCAGGUCAUAGUGAUCCGGUGGUUCUGAAUGGAAGGGCCAUCGCUCAACGGAUAAAAGGUACUCCGGGGAUAACAGGCUGAUACCGCCCAAGAGUUCAUAUCGACGGCGGUGUUUGGCACCUCGAUGUCGGCUCAUCACAUCCUGGGGCUGAAGUAGGUCCCAAGGGUAUGGCUGUUCGCCAUUUAAAGUGGUACGCGAGCUGGGUUUAGAACGUCGUGAGACAGUUCGGUCCCUAUCUGCCGUGGGCGCUGGAGAACUGAGGGGGGCUGCUCCUAGUACGAGAGGACCGGAGUGGACGCAUCACUGGUGUUCGGGUUGUCAUGCCAAUGGCACUGCCCGGUAGCUAAAUGCGGAAGAGAUAAGUGCUGAAAGCAUCUAAGCACGAAACUUGCCCCGAGAUGAGUUCUCCCUGAGACUUAGAGUCUCCUGAAGGAACGUUGAAGACGACGACGUUGAUAGGCCGGGUGUGUAAGCGCAGCGAUGCGUUGAGCUAACCGGUACUAAUGAACCGUGAGGCUUAACCUUACAACGCCGAAG